ACGAACGCUGGCGGCGUGCUUAACACCUGCCAGUCGCACGCUGAAGCUCAGCUUUUGUUGGGUGGAUGAGUGGCGAACGGGUGAGUAACACGUGAGUAACCUGCCCCCUUCUUUGGGAUAACGCCCGGAAACGGGUGCUAAUACUGGAUAUUCACUGGUCUUCGCAUGGGGGUUGGUGGAAAGGGUUUUUCUGGUGGGGGAUGGGCUCGCGGCCUAUCAGCUUGUUGGUGGGGUGAUGGCCUACCAAGGCUUUGACGGGUAGCCGGCCUGAGAGGGUGACCGGUAACAUUGGGACUGAGAUACGGCCCAGACUCCUACGGGAGGCAGCAGUGGGGAAUAUUGCACAAUGGGCGCAAGCCUGAUGCAGCGACGCCGCGUGAGGGAUGGAGGCCUUCGGGUUGUGAACUUCUUUCGCUCAUGGUCAAGCCGCAACAAUGGUUGUGGUGAGGGUAGUGGGUAAAGAAGCGCCGGCUAACUACGUG
rnacentral:rRNA from 1 species